UACGUAGGGAGCAAGCGUUGUCCGGAAUCAUUGGGCGUAAAGCGUGCGUAGGCGGCCCGGUAAGUCCGUUGUAAAAGUCAAAGGCUCAACCUUUGAAAGCCGAUGGAUACUGCCGGGCUAGAGUUCGGAAGAGGCGAGUGGAAUUCCUGGUGUAGCGGUGGAAUGCGCAGAUAUCAGGAGGAACACCUAUAGCGAAGGCAGCUCGCUGGGACGAUACUGACGCUAAGGCACGAAAGCGUGGGGAGCAAACAGG
rnacentral:rRNA from 1 species